AAAAAGGUAACCCUCACAUAAUGGUAACCCUCACAUAACGGUAACCCUCACAUAAUGGUAACCCUCACAUAAUGGUAACCCUCACAUAACGGUAACCCUCACAUAAUGGUAACCCUCACAUAAUGGUAACCCUCACAUAAAGGUA